GCGAGUGAAGCGGUAAUAGCUCAAAUUUGAAAUCUGGCUCUUUCAGGGUCCGAGUUGUAAUUUGUAGAGGAUGUUUCGGGCACAGUUACGGUUUAAAUUUCUUGGAACAGAAUGUCAUAGAGGGUGAGAGUCCCGUCUUGAACCGAUUACCUCGUCCAUGUGAAACUCCUUCGACGAGUCGAGUUGUUUGGGAAUGCAGCUCAAAAUGGGUGGUAAAUUUCAUCUAAAGCUAAAUAUUGGCCAGAGACCGAUAGCGCACAAGUAGAGUGAUCGAAAGAUGAAAAGCACUUUGAAAAGAGAGUUAAACAGUAUGUGAAAUUGUUGAAAGGGAAGCGCUUGCAAUCAGACUUGAGCUUAACAGUUCCCCCUUCGUUCUCGUUGGGUUAUUCUGUUUUGUCCAGGCCAACAUCAGUUCGGGUGGUUGGUUAAAGACUUUAGGAAUGUAUUUACCCUUCGGGGUCGACUUAUAGCCUAGAGUGUCAUGCAGCCUACCUGGACUGAGGAACGCGCUUCGGCUCGGAUGUUGGCGUAAUGGUUGUAAGCGACCCGUCUUGAAACACGGACCAAGGAGUCUAACAUCUAUGCAAGUCUUUGAGUGGAAAACUCGCAGGCGUAAUGAAAGUGAACGGAGGUAAGAAGCCUUUAGGCUGCAUUAUCGACCGAUCUUGAUGUCUUCGGAUGGAUUUGAGUAAGAGCAUAGCUGUUGGGACCCGAAAGAUGGUGAACUAUGCCUGAAUAGGGUGAAGCCAGAGGAAACUCUGGUGGAGGCUCGCAGCGGUUCUGACGUGCAAAUCGAUCGUCAAAUUUAGGUA
rnacentral:rRNA from 1 species